UCCAAGAAGAAGAAGAUACACUGAUGUAAAAAAGCGGAUUACUACUAAUUACUCUAAUUUUGCAAAAAAAGAUGUUGCAAUUUAUCUAUCCAUUGUUUCUACUUUGUUAAUAAUGUACAUUAUAAUAAGUAAUGUAAAUAAAUGAUAAGUAAUAAUAAUACAUAUUUAUCGUAGAGUUUCCGCGAAAAUGUAAUGUUUUUCAACGCAAAAUACAAAAAGUUCGACUUGCUAAAUACCAUGUUUAAUGUUUUACAAAUAAGGGAUCAAAGGACGUAACUUCAUUUAAAAAUCAAAAUGGAAUUUUGUUCUUUAUGUAAAGUUAUAAGAAAAAAUCUUACAAGAAAUCAAUGUUAGAUAAAAACUUUAAAAACAGGGGAAACAUUUAUUUUAACUAUAAAACAGCAGAAACGGACCCGGAGUCGUGGGAUUCAAAAACCCAUUGAUCGCCUCAUUUAUCGCCUCGAUAGCCGCCGACAGCCCCCCCUUAAUGACACUCUCGACCACCAACAAAAUCACCCGUUUCAGAAGAAGUGUUGUCACAUCAGUCAACAAGUUGAGGAGCCAAUCAACGAGCGCGUUUCCAUUGAAAUGAAAAGUAAUUCGACUAAAAACUAAAAUUUACUCUAUUUAAAAUUCAUACCCCGAAUUCGUGAUCCAAAACUGAUCCAAAGACACCUCCAAAGUCUCAACAUUGAACCCAAUUUUUACUUGCACACCCAGCGAAUUGACUUUGCCCUCGAUUCCCCCCGUGGGUCCCAAACCCAUGAUUUUCGCACUGUAGUCAUAAGUGAACUGUAAGUCGUCAAAAGCGAUCGGAACUGUGAUUUCCAGAUAUUUGGUGUUGGAACUGUAAGAAGCGACAACAUCGCCCCCUCGAUGGAUGGUCGAUAAGUCGCUUAACCAGCCAUGGGUCAAGUCCAACUCCCCAUGUGAUGGGCAACGAACGUAGUUGAAGCCUGUAUGCAUGUCGGGCAUUUCAAUCGGGUCAAAACCACCAUGAAUCAUAAGAUUUUGAAUAUUUUGGAAAAUUUUGUCAGCGUAGUCGUUCAAAAUCGCUUCGGUGCCACCAAGUCUAUAAUUUUUGUCCAAUCUCACUUUCAAUCAUGAAUUUUAACACUUACCGUUUCAUUUCUUCAACUAUUUUGUUUAAAAUUUUAUCGUUUACGAAAUUAAAAUUGUAUUUAGCCGGAAUUUUGGUAAACUCAACACUUUCAAUGACCACAUCAAAAUCUUGAUUUUUGAUGUGGUAACCCCAAACGAGGGUCAACAAACAAGUUGCAACAACUAAUUUUCGCAUUUUUCUCAUUAACUGUUUGUUUGUUGGCGACUUUUAUACACGAGAAGCGAUAAAAUGAUUAGAUAUUUUCGAAAUUUGCGUCUUUUGGAUAUAUCGAGCGUCAGAAGUGUUAUCACACCUGUGAUUUUAUUAAAAAAAAACCUUAUCUAACUAAAAAUUUGUUUUUCACGAAUAGCAUAAAAUAUUUUUUAAUCUUUCAUUUAGAAUUUUUUUAACUAUGUUUUAUAAAAUUUGAAGGUUUCUUGUGAAUUCAAAAAACUGUAAUUUUGGGAGAAAUUUCAGGCAAUGAAGCACAUUUAAAAGAAUUGCAUAAAACUAAGGUGUAA